AUGCAGUCGAACGGGCACUUCGGUGCUAGUGGCAGACGGGUGAGUAACACGUGGGAACGUACCUUUCGGUUCGGAAUAAUUCAGGGAAACUUGGACUAAUACCGGAUACGCCUUUCGGGGGAAAGAUUCAUCGCCGAUAGAUCGGCCCGCGUCUGAUUAGCUAGUUGGUGAGGUAAUGGCUCACCAAGGCGACGAUCAGUAGCUGGUCUGAGAGGAUGAUCAGCCACAUUGGGACUGAGACACGGCCCAAACUCCUACGGGAGGCAGCAGUGGGGAAUAUUGGACAAUGGGCGCAAGCCUGAUCCAGCCAUGCCGCGUGAGUGAUGAAGGCCUUAGGGUUGUAAAGCUCUUUUGUCCGGGAAGAUAAUGACUGUACCGGAAGAAUAAGCCCCGGCUAACUUCGUGCCAGCAGCCGCGGUAAUACGAAGGGGGCUAGCGUUGCUCGGAAUCACUGGGCGUAAAGGGCGCGUAGGCGGACUCUUAAGUCGGGGGUGAAAGCCCAGGGCUCAACCCUGGAAUUGCCUUCGAUACUGAGAGUCUUGAGUUCGGAAGAGGUUGGUGGAACUGCGAGUGUAGAGGUGAAAUUCGUAGAUAUUCGCAAGAACACCAGUGGCGAAGGCGGCCAACUGGUCCGAUACUGACGCUGAGGCGCGAAAGCGUGGGGAGCAAACAGGAUUAGAUACCCUGGUAGUCCACGCCGUAAACGAUGAAUGCCAGCCGUUGGGGUGCAUGCACCUCAGUGGCGCAGCUAACGCUUUAAGCAUUCCGCCUGGGGAGUACGGUCGCAAGAUUAAAACUCAAAGGAAUUGACGGGGGGCCCGCACAAGCGGUGGAGCAUGGUGGGUUUUAAUUUCGAAAGCAACGCGCAGAAACUUAACCAGCCUUUUGGACAUGGUCCGGGUUUUGAAUCGAACAGAAGAUAGUCCUUUCUUUCAAUUCCGGCUGGGUCCGGAACACAAGGUGCUGCGAUGGGCUGUUCGU
rnacentral:rRNA from 1 species